rnacentral:rRNA from 1 species
UACGGAGGGGGCGAGCGUUAUUCGGAAUUAUUGGGCGUAAAGGGCGCGUAGGCGGCUAGACAAGUCAAAGGUGAAAUCCCUCGGCUCAACUGAGGAACUGCCUUUGAAACUGUCUGGCUUGAGGCCGGGAGGGGGUAGCGGAAUUCCCAGUGUAGCGGUGAAAUGCGUAGAUAUUGGGAGGAACACCAGUGGCGAAGGCGGCUACCUGGACCGGUACUGACGCUGAUGCGCGAAAGCGUGGGUAGCAAACAGG